GUUAUUUCGAUUGACAUGUAAAUAAUUUUUAUAUAUGGGUUAACAUUCCAUUAGUUCUUGUGAAUUAAUGAAUUAUACCAUACUUUUUUUAUUGAAAGAAAAAAAAGCUUAGAGAGUUAAUAAUAUUGUAUUUUCAAGAGGAAGCAACUCUUUUAGGGUACCAAAAUUUGAAUAUUAUUUCUGUCAAUUUUGUUGUAAAAAGGUCAGUUAUAAGGACCAAAAGUUUAUUGCAUGCUUCAUACAAACAUAAGAUAAAUUCAAUAUCACAAGCUUCGCCGAUAUUUAUUCAACGUCAAUAAGUUAGGUUUUGUCAGCAAAAUCUAUUAUUCAAAAACUUCUGAGGGUUGCAACCCAUGUAGAAGGAAAACAGUCAAAAGAUCUAUAAGUGUCCUAAGUUGCAAGAAUCAGAAGUAAGGUGAGCAUUGAACUGCCUUUCUAUAGAUUCAGUUGUUUAACAAAAUAAAUUAAGUGACAACUAAGAUCAUUCAUCUGCAUUGUAUGGUGGAAGCAUCUUUGUUAGUUCUCAUCUCUGUAUUCACUCUGUCAGGGCUAACAUCAACCCUGCAUUCCAACUGUCUCAAAGAGGCUGGAGAAGGUUGAAGUCUCAAUAAGCUAUGAAUUUUGUCAUCCCUGUGGGUGAUUCUGAUCAAAAUGAUUUGGACUUCCCUGGGCAAAGUUUAAAUGGAAGUUUUAGGAAACUCGCCUCUGGUUUUCUGUGGAAUGAUUUUGACUCAUCUCCAGGACAAAGCUUGGAUACAAGUUCCAGAAAAUCUAACUCUGGUUUGUAAUAUUGGCUGGUCUUUUUCCCCUUCAUAUAUUUUCCAUCUUUUCUUGUGCAACUAGCAUGCUCCUAUUCCUCUUAAUUUUUCUCUGUUGUUAUUGCAUUAGUAAGUUUAUCAAUCUUGAAAUAACUGCCUUCCGCCACAAGAAAAUUAAUCUAGAAUAGGCUUAGAAAACCAUUCAGCAGAGUGAUUUCUAUGAAAUGGUUUCAAUGGAUUCUUUAUUUCAGAAUCUUUGUAAGCAUGUAUAAAACAGGAACAAGAAGGGGAAAGCAAUUACACAUCAAGUGGGAUCACUUGGUGGCUUUCUAGGACCUUUGUUUCUUUAUCCUGAUAAGCAUGCAUACGCAUGAGUUCUGGUUGUAGAUUUCUUGUACCUCUUACACUUGGGUAUGGGACUUUUAACUUUGUUUAGGUGUGUUUGCUAUCAAAGGAGGUAAUAAUAGAAAAAUCAAUAAUCAAAUUUUGCUUGUUCUAUUUUUUUUUUCUUUCACUACUAGAAAGAUUCCUUAUCCUCCCUUUGUAUUCUCUCUUUCUUAAUAAUAUCUUCUUUUUCUAUCAAAAUAAUCAUAACGAAUUCUUUUUUCGCCCCCUUUUUGAUGAUCGGUCAAACAACCAACUUUUUCUACCCCUUAGGUUGUGCAAUUUUUUUUGGUUCAGAAAAUGAAAAUAGGGAACUCAAUGGGGAGCUGAGGGAUUAGAAUGUCCUGAAUUUUUUAUUUUGAACUUUUCUGCUGAUAGUGGUUUCUAGAAAAUAUUUGGAUCUUCUUUUUUUGUUUGAUUAUCAGUUAUAAAUUUUCUAGAAAAUCUUCUGAUUGCAUGUAAAUUGUCUAUAGGACUCAUUUAAUUGUCUGAUUAGCUGGACAAUGGUUUGUAAUUAUGGGAUGAGAUAUGAGUGAAGGGUAUUAGAGGUCAGAACAAACAGAUAGGUCUUUUUCCUAUUGCAAUUUUUUGGGUGGUGUAGAAAGAAAAAGCAUGACAGUUUUUGAAGGAGUGAAAGAGGAUCUAUAGGAAGAGUAUUAUUCACAAAUGUACUCAGGGAGUACCAGCCAUUUAUAAAAUUUACAGUUUAGUUAAUAUAUCUUUAAGAUUUCCAAAAUCAUCCUCCAUAGAAAUAUCAUGCCCGAACAUCAAGGAUCCAAAAAAAAUGAAACCACCUAUUCUUGAUCUUGGAUAUCUCAUUUUUAUUACCCUCAAAAGUUUUAUUAUUCAUUUCUUCCAAAUCACCCACAUAAUAAUAAGUGGAAUUAGCUUUACAAAUUUCUUUUUUUACAUAGACCUUCCCAAGCUCAAAUUUCAUCCCUUACUGAUCCCGCAAUGACCCAAUUGAUUUCUAGUAAUCCCUAAAUCAUCAUUCACAGUUCAUAAGCCAUUGGAUACCAAAGAAGGAUAUGAUUGCAUGAUUCUGCAGCUCUCUUACACAAAUAACAAUCGUUAACCAUAAUCUUUCCCCUAAGUAUAAGCUUGUCAAUUGUAAGAAUGCAUUUGCGACACGCCUCCCAAGCAAAAAAAGCAACCUUAGGAGGUGCAUUGAUUUUUCAAAUCUGAUGAGCCGAAAGCUAGAGACCUCUUCCCGCUCUCUCCUCACUAAGUAAUUGUAAUAACUCCUAGCAAUAUAAGGCCUUAUUCAGUUUCCACACAAUCUGCUCCUUGACAUUUCUUUUUGAAAUAAAACAUGCGAAAAUAUAUUACUAUGAGCACCAAGGGAGUCCAACCCAUAUACAAGAAUUUACAAGUCACCCAUUGCAACAAAACAGUUUCUAAAGGCCCCCAUGACCGGUGGAGGAUGAUCCAACAACAACAAACUUAGGGUUCGAAACCAUCUAUUCUUGAAAACAUCAAAACCCUUAACAUCAUCUAUCCCAUCAAAAGUUUUUUUGUUCAUUUCCUUCCACACAGUCCACAUAAUGGUGAGUGGUAUCAAAUCCGCAAACGUACACCUAUUCCUCAAACUUUCUCAUGCCCUUAGCUCUUCCCUCACCGAACUGGCCAUCACUUAGUUGAUCCCCUAGCAAACCAUACACCAUGACCCAACAAAUUAUUACUACUCUCCUCAGCUUUCUUACACAAAUAACACGCAUUUACCAAGAACUUCUACCUCCUCCUCAGUUUACCUAUAGUUAGAAUACACUCUCUACAUGACCCCCCAAGCAAAAAAAGAAACCCGUGGAAGUACUUUAGCCUUCCAAAUCUGUUUUGAUGGGAAUCUAACAACAUUAUUAUCAUUUUUUGAUAGCCACUUGUACCAAGAUUUUAUCGUGAAUGAGCCUUUUUUAGUGAGCUUCCAAGGAGGACUAUCAUUGUUACCAUCUAGUGACAAAACGAAAGAGAUCUCAACAACUUCUCAUAUUCACUUAUUUCCCAAUCAUUCAAAUUUCUAGAUACCAAAUCUGCCAAACUCCCUCUCCUCCUAACACCCCCAUAAAGCAAUCAUAAAUCUUCGCCCCUUCAUGUUGAGCAAUACUGAAUAUCUGAGGGAAUUGCUCCCUAAGUGCACCACCUUCAAUCCAUUGAUCCUCUCAAAAAUUGAUUUUGUCGCCCCUACCCACUUUCCAUCUGAUACAUUUAUGAAACCUCUCCUUCCCAACCCCUGUUCUUUUCCACAAAGUUUUUCCAUGUGACUGCAAAGCCGUACAAGUGAACCAACCAUUUCCCUCCACCCCAAACUUCGCCACAAUGAUCCUUCUCCACAAAGCACCCUCCUCAUUCAUGAACCUCCAAAGCCAUUUAACCUGUAAUGCCACAUCCAUUUCAACCGAAGAUUGAAUGCCCAAACCGCCUAUGGGAAUAAGUUUCUUAAGUUCUUUCCAUGCAACCAAGUGAUAUUUCCUUUUAUCUUCAACU